rnacentral:lncRNA from 1 species
UCGUUCUUGUAAAAGUCUUAUCGGACGAUAAUCGAACCAUGAAAGCCCUCCGAUAGCUGCAGCAGGCCACCCCUGGCCUCCGACAGCCAGGACUUUCCAUCCCUCUCCUCCUCUCUUUCUUUCUCACUUUUUCUCUCUUUCCCUCUCCCUCCUCUGAUAUACUAGUUUCGUUGGCCGAACCUUAUCGGUUCUCCACUAGUCUGAUACAGUACGGAAUAUAUCGGCUGG